AACGGUCGGUCCCACGUGUUCAUUGCUUCUCGCACAAAGAAGAUCACACGAUCGGUUGGCGACAGAAUGAGCGGACGCAGUAUGUGUGUUAACUGUCCAUCUGAACCUCCUGACUGAAGACACUUUAGUUUCUACAAUGUAUUACCCAUGAAGGCGCAAAUAGUUGCUUCUGUGAGGCUACAGUUGUGCUGCAGAGUCCUUCUUUAGCUGUUACUUGCUAAUGGCGGAGAAUGUAAGAACGACAGUCAUUAGAUUCCAUUGAUGGCCUCAUCUUGGGGCAAAUGUAUUCGAUGACUGACUGGUUGCUUGUUCCUCAGCUGUGGUGCAACUGAGUAGAGCUAAUUUUGCCAAGUUUUGAAGAACAUCUUAAAUGAGUGGUUAUGUAUUGAUUGGAACCAAUAAAGAUGCUGCCUGUAGU